UACGUAGGGCGCAAGCGUUGUCCGGAAUUAUUGGGCGUAAAGAGCUCGUAGGCGGUCUGUCACGUCUGCCGUGAAAACCCGAGGCUUAACCUCGUGGCUUGCGGUGGAUACGGGCAGACUAGAGGGUAGGUAGGGGAGAACGGAAUUCCCGGUGUAGCGGUGAAAUGCGCAGAUAUCGGGAGGAACACCGGUGGCGAAGGCGGUUCUCUGGGCCUUAC
rnacentral:rRNA from 1 species